rnacentral:rRNA from 1 species
AUUGAACGCUGGCGGCAUGCCUUACACAUGCAAGUCGAACGGCAGCACGGGUGCUUGCACCUGGUGGCGAGUGGCGAACGGGUGAGUAAUAUAUCGGAACGUGCCCAGUCGUGGGGGAUAACGUAGCGAAAGCUACGCUAAUACCGCAUACGAUCUACGGAUGAAAGCGGGGGAUCGCAAGACCUCGCGCGAUUGGAGCGGCCGAUAUCAGAUUAGGUAGUUGGUGAGGUAAAGGCUAACCAAGCCGACGAUCUGUAGCUGGUCUGAGAGGACGACCAGCCACACUGGGACUGAGACACGGCCCAGACUCCUACGGGAGGCAGCAGUGGGGAAUUUUGGACAAUGGACGCAAGUCUGAUCCAGCCAUUCCGCGUGCAGGACGAAGGCCUUCGGGUUGUAAACUGCUUUUGUACAGAACGAAAAGGUCUCUAUUAAUACUAGGGGCUCAUGACGGUACUGUAAGAAUAAGCACCGGCUAACUACGUGCCAGCCGCCGCCGUAA